rnacentral:sRNA from 1 species
UGUGAGGCUUUCCAUGAACUGGGAAACCAUCCCCAGUAGAGGAGGACAGGUCUUCGGUCAAGGGUAUAUGAGUAGCCGCUCUCCCCUGCUAGAACCUCCAAACAAGCUCUGAUGAAUACUCAAAAAUAUUUUCCAAAUUCUGGAAAAAUCAGCUACAGUGAAACAAAUAUGCUCCAAAUUUUGUUAAUAGGAGUAUACUUU